rnacentral:rRNA from 1 species
AGGGCAAACGCUGGCGGGGUGCAUGAGACAUGCAAGUCGAACGAGGUGCCAUCGGGCUUGCUCGAUGGUUACCUAGUGGCGGACGGCUGAGUAACGCGUAGGUGACCUACCCGGAAGUGGGGAAUAACUGCCCGAAAGGGUGGCUAAUACCGCAUGUGGUCGGCGAUUCGAUUCGCCGUCUAAAGGAGCAAUUCGCUUCCGGAGGGGCCUGCGUCCGAUUAGCUAGUUGGUGGGGUAACGGCUCACCAAGGCGACGAUCGGUAGCUGGUCUGAGAGGAUGAUCAGCCAGACUGGGACUGAGAACGGCCCAGACUCCUACGGGAGGCAGCAGUGGGGAAUCUUGGACAAUGGGGGCAACCCUGAUCCAGCCAUGCCGCGUGAUCGAUGAAGGCCUUAGGGUGUAAAGAUCUUUCAGCUGGGAAGAUAAUGACGGUACCAGCAGAAGAACGCCCCGGCUAACUCCGUGCCAGCAGCCGC